UAUUGAAAAAUUUAAUUGUUAAGAAUUUUUAAUUUUUUAUAAAAUAAAUAUGUUAAUUUUAAUUAUUUUAGAUGAAAAAAUUAAAUUUUUUAUAGUUUAUUAGUAUUGUAAAAGAAUUUUUUUAAAUUUUAAGAAGAAAAAUUAGGUGUUUGUACCUCGUGUAUCAGGGUUGAUUAAAUAAAUAUAAAAGAAUUUAGAUUCUCGAAUUUGAAUGAGUUAAAAAUUUAUUUUUUUUAUUGUUAAAUAACUAUUAUAAAUAGGUUUUUCGAAAUGAAAUGUUAUUCGUCUUUAAAUAUAUCUAGUUUUUUUAGAAAUAAAUUUAAUUUAUUUUUAAAGUUUUUUUUUUAUGAUUUUUUAUAUUAAUGAAUUUUAAAAUUUAUAUUUUUAGGGACUAGCUUAAGAAUAAAUUUUUAUAAAUUUUAAAAAAAGUAUUUAAAUGUAGAAUUUGAAAUUUUUUACAUUAUUAAUUUGUUAUAAUUAAUAAAUUUAGUUUAUUUAAUUUUUUUUAUUUUAAAUUUUUUAUAGAAAUUUUUGUUUUAAUAAUUUAAGUAAAAUAAUUAUGAUUAAAUUAGUAUAGUAUAAUUUAUAAAAUAAGAUAUUUUAUAGAUUAAGAAAAAGAAUUAGACAAAUAGAAUUUUUACCUGUUUAUUAAAAACAUGUCUUUUUGAUAAUAAUUUAAAGUCUGACCUGCCCACUGAAAAUUUAAAUGGCUGCGGUAAUUUGACCGUACAAAGGUAGCAUAAUCAUUAGUUUUUUAAUUGAAAGCUGGAAUGAAAGGUUUGAUAAAAAAUUAUUUGUUUCUUUUUAAAUUUGUAGAAUUUUAUUUUUAAAUAAAAAAGUUUAAAUAUUAAUAAAAGACGAGAAGACCCUAUAGAGUUUUAUAUAAAAUUAUAUUUAUAAGUUUUUGAAUUUAAAAUUUAAAUUUGAUUUUAUAUUUAGUUGGGGUGAUUGAAAAAUUUAAUAAACUUUUUUUGUUUAUAACAUUAAUUAGUGAUUUUUUGAUCCAAAAGUUUUGAUUAUAAGAAUAAAUUACCUUAGGGAUAACAGCGUAAUUUUUUUUGAAAGUUCAUAUUUAAAGAAAAGAUUGCGACCUCGAUGUUGGAUUAAAUUUAAUUUUAGGUGAAGAAGCUUGAAAAUUAGGUCUGUUCGACCUUUAAAAAUUUACAUGAUCUGAGUUUAAACCGGUGUGAGCCAGGUUGGUUUCUAUCUUUAUUUAGAUAAAAUAUUUUAGUACGAAAGGACCAAAUAUUUAAUUAAUAAUUUUAAGAUUUGAAUAUUAUU
rnacentral:rRNA from 1 species